GCUAAGAAUCUUCCGCAAUGGGCGAAAGCCUGACGGAGCGACGCCGCGUGGACGAUGAAGGCCGUGAGGUUGUAAAGUCCUUUUCGGGGGGGGGAAUGAGGUCCGCAGGGAAUGGCGGGCCGAUGACGUGAACCCCGGAAUAAGCCCCGGCUAACUACGUGCCAGCAGCCGCGGUAACACGUAGGGGGCGAGCGUUGUUCGGAAUCAUUGGGCGUAAAGGGCGCGCAGGCGGCGAGGCAAGUCCGGUGUGAAAGUGCUCGGCUCAACCGAGUGAUGCGCUGGAAACUGCCCUGCUUGAGUACAGGAGGGGACGUCGGAAUUCCAGGUGUAGGGGUGAAAUCUGUAGAUAUCUGGAAGAACACCGGUGGCGAAGGCGGACGUCUGGCCAUGUACUGACGCUGAGGCGCGAAGGUGCGGGGAGCGAACAGGUUUAGAAACCCUAGUAGUCC
rnacentral:rRNA from 1 species